rnacentral:rRNA from 1 species
AGAGUUUGAUCCUGGCUCAGGAUGAACGCUAGCGACAGGCUUAACACAUGCAAGUCGAGGGGCAGCACAGGUAGCAAUACCGGGUGGCGACCGGCGCACGGGUGAGUAACGCGUAUGCAACUUACCUAUCAGAGGGGGAUAACCCGGCGAAAGUCGGACUAAUACCGCAUGAAGCAGGGGCCCCGCAUGGGGAUAUUUGCUAAAGAUUCAUCGCUGAUAGAUAGGCAUGCGUUCCAUUAGGCAGUUGGCGGGGUAACGGCCCACCAAACCGACGAUGGAUAGGGGUUCUGAGAGGAAGGUCCCCCACAUUGGUACUGAGACACGGACCAAACUCCUACGGGAGGCAGCAGUGAGGAAUAUUGGUCAAUGGGCGUAAGCCUGAACCAGCCAAGUCGCGUGAGGGAUGAAGGUUCUAUGGAUCGUAAACCUCUUUUAUAAGGGAAUAAAGUGCGGGACGUGUCCCGUUUUGUAUGUACCUUAUGAAUAAGGAUCGGCUAACUCCGUGCCAGCAGCCGCGGUAAUACGGAGGAUCCGAGCGUUAUCCGGAUUUAUUGGGUUUAAAGGGAGCGUAGAUGGAUGUUUAAGUCAGUUGUGAAAGUUUGCGGCUCAACCGUAAAAUUGCAGUUGAUACUGGAUAUCUUGAGUGCAGUUGAGGCAGGCGGAAUUCGUGGUGUAGCGGUGAAAUGCUUAGAUAUCACGAAGAACUCCGAUUGCGAAGGCAGCUUGCUGGACUGUAACUGACGCUGAUGCUCGAAAGUGUGGGUAUCAAACAGGAUUAGAUACCCUGGUAGUCCACACAGUAAACGAUGAAUACUCGCUGUUUGCGAUAUACAGUAAGCGGCCAAGCGAAAGCGUUAAGUAUUCCACCUGGGGAGUACGCCGGCAACGGUGAAACUCAAAGGAAUUGACGGGGGCCCGCACAAGCGGAGGAACAUGUGGUUUAAUUCGAUGAUACGCGAGGAACCUUACCCGGGCUUAAAUUGCAGAUGAAUUACGGUGAAAGCCGUAAGCCGCAAGGCAUCUGUGAAGGUGCUGCAUGGUUGUCGUCAGCUCGUGCCGUGAGGUGUCGGCUUAAGUGCCAUAACGAGCGCAACCCUUGUUGUCAGUUACUAACAGGUUCUGCUGAGGACUCUGACAAGACUGCCAUCGUAAGAUGUGAGGAAGGUGGGGAUGACGUCAAAUCAGCACGGCCCUUACGUCCGGGGCUACACACGUGUUACAAUGGGGGGUACAGAAGGCAGCUAGCGGGUGACCGUAUGCUAAUCCCAAAAGCCUCUCUCAGUUCGGAUCGAAGUCUGCAACCCGACUUCGUGAAGCUGGAUUCGCUAGUAAUCGCGCAUCAGCCAUGGCGCGGUGAAUACGUUCCCGGGCCUUGUACACACCGCCCGUCAAGCCAUGGGAGCCGGGGGUACCUGAAGUGCGUAACCGCGAGGAGCGCCCUAGGGUAAAACUGGUGACUGGGGCUAAGUCGUAACAAGGUAGCCGUACCGGAAGGUGCGGCUG